ensembl:processed_transcript Six3os1 SIX homeobox 3, opposite strand 1
CACUCAUGAAGAACUGAGGCAAAAGGAUCACAGAUGCUGCUCGGGGCCAGCCCUAUACUCCCUCCAGUGCCUGGUCUCCGGUGGACCCGCGGGGCUCUGCAGUUCUCUGGCGGCCGCGCCUUGUAAGCGCUAAGCCGGGAGGAGGGCGCAGGCAGGGCGCACAGCUCUGAGCGCGACCCUACCCGGCUCGGGCCCGCAGCAGCCCCGACUGUCCGAGAGCCUCUCCGCAAGCAAGGCUCUGCGCCGCCCUCUGAGCCCACCUCCUGGCCACAACGCUGCCUGCGCUUCUCCAGCCCAGGCCGGAAGCCCUAUGCUGCCUCCCGAAGCCGGACUUUCUGGAAGCCCAUCUUCGUAUGCUCACCAGCCCACCCUCCUACGCUGGUCAGAGUGAGAUUGCUAACCUCAAGACCCCAUUCAAUGCCAGCUUUCAACUACUGCUGAAGACCAAUGUAGGUCCUGGAAUAGAAGAACUGCAGAGUGUAAGUCUAUUUGACCGGCCCCUCCUCCCUUCCCUCCUUCCAUUCGGCUCCACUCCCGAGCCCAGCCCCCUUUCCAUUCAAUGACCCCCUAAACUAAACCCAAGCAUAAACUCCAGGAUCAUCUCUGAGCCGGACCACAGUAGUGCCCAGGUCACGAUCCGUUCUAAGGGCAAAAGCAGCGGCAGAAAAGUCAGGGGCGGGUGCUCUAGGAGAGAGGGAGACCUGAAACGGAGGGUAGGAUUCAGUUCCGAGCCCACCGGCUGCUGAGGGGAGGAGGCGAAAGGAGGGGGUUGGGAGUCCACGGGCAUUGGGUCGGGGCAGCAGGGACUUCAGGCGACGGCGUGGGGGGCUAGAUCCGGAGGAGAGGGGAGGGGUGGCGGGGGUCGGAGGAGCACGCAGGGCGGAGGGGUGUGGGGCUCUUUAAGAGCCACACGGCUAGCAGGAGAGGCGUGCGGCCCUGUGCUGGUAGCGCACUGACCCCGAAGGGGAUUUAGCGGGAAGGGAGCGACCGGGUUCUGGGGGCUUUGUCCGGGGGCGCCCAGAAAGGCCGAGGCACAAGAAUAAGAAGCGGCUGCAGCGUGAAAGGCUGCGAGGAGCGGCGGCGCUGCUGCUCUUGACUUCUGAGCAGGGCUUAGAAGGCCUGCCCCGGCUUAAGCUGAACUGAGGGUGCUGAGUCCUGAGCGCCGAGUUCAGGAGCCCUGAGUCCUGGCCUCUAGGCUGAGGAGGCGUGGGAUAGGGGCGGACGCUGGAGUAGUGGGUCUUCUUGCGACAACCCCCUCUUGGAUCUUACAGCCUUGCUACCCUAGCGCAAGGUUGUUAGCCUAGCUUGCCGCGUCUGGCAUAGCCAAAGAAAUUUACUUUCCCAGCUUGGCUUUUGCUUUUGUGUGUCCACCUCGAGCAGAUCCGGAGCUGGCCGACCCCAGACUGAUUCUCAACAGGUGGCUGGGUAGUGCCCCCCACCCUGUGUUGGUCGUGCGGGACCCAUCGCACACAGAGAAGCCACCUUACCCCUCACCUCACCCCGUCGGCCAAAGACUGACCACCCGCGCCCGAGUGUGGGGAGGGGUGGGAAUUCCGGAUGACACACACACACACACACACACACACACACCAGGGUAGGGGAACAGGGAAGAUCUUACCUGCAGAAAGGUAAGAGAAGCCGGGAGCGUGUAGCAGCGGCGGAUAAAUAUUCAUUAGGAAGUGUAAGUCCUUUCAAAGGGCUCCGCGCGCGCGCUCUAGCUCCUGUCUCUCUUUCUCUCCCUCCCUCUGUCCUCCAGGAAGGCUUCCCCUCCUCUAGCUAUCUCAACGCCCCCCCCCCNNNNNNNNNNNNNNNNNNNNNNNNNNNNNNNNNNNNNNNNNNNNNNNNNNNNNNNNNNNNNNNNNNNNNNCCUCACCCCUCCUAAAUCACUACAUCAUUAGCUUUAUUGGGCGGGGGGGGGGCGGGUAACGGAGCAGCCAGACGCACCUCUCCAUAGAAGGGUGAAUAGUUGGUGCCCUGCGAUGCAACCCCAACUCCAUCUCCACCUCAUUCUCACCCAUCUGCACAUCCUCAUCCAAUCUUGCUUCUUUUUCUUCGCUCUUUCCACCUCCACCUCCAUCCUGUGUCAACCUAACUCCCUCAGCAGCCCUCCCACCCGCCGCCGCCAAUCCGGAUCACAGAUUGGGUUGGGAGUGAGAUUGCAAGGCUGUUAGGUCCGAAGGUCCUGUGUGUCGAGGUUAGAACUCCUCCCUGGCGUGAGUACGGGGUGGUUAUCAAGAUCUCCUUCUCCUUCCUGACCCUGCAAGGUUACCAAACAGCCUGGACUUUUGAAUCAGAUCUCUGGAGCAAGCAUUAAGAACUCCAGCCACACAGAUCUCAGGGCCUGGCCCUUUCACUCAGCCGCGGAGGCUGCUUGAGGGAUGGGGAGAGGUGAUUUCACUCAGCGCCAACGCGCAGGAAAAACUCAUAGACGACAGUCGGACUAAUACUCGUCCUUUAAGAAUGCACUACCUGAAGUUAGUCGCAAGUCAUCUUCAAUCGAGGAAAGGAAAAAAAAAUCCUCACAUCUAGAAGCUUCGCCGAAGCCACUUCCAACAGCACGCGAACAUGUUCGCGCACACCCUUCUCUGUGCACGCCCCAAAGCCUGCUCUCUCGCGGGCAGGUGAAAAUACAGGCUGCCCAGGCCAGAGGAGAGAAGGCGGCGGAGGAAUACAUCGCUUAGGGUUGUUGAGAAACUAGGAAUAACUGUUUUCAAUACUCUGCUCUGCUACCAGGACCUUAGGUCCCUCUUGGGACCCUGAAAAGUGGCUUUGCCCCACGAUGGGGGGUGGGGGGGCAGUGACUCUAGCUCUGGCCCUCCUACUGGGAGCUUAAAGUUGGGGUGAAGGGUUUAAGGAGGAGCCGAGGGGGCGGGCCCUGUUAGUUUGCAGUUGUAAGUGCAGCUGUGCCUGGGACACCAAGAAGGAGAGUCUCGCCCCCUUAAUGCUCACGGUGCUUGCUUAGAGGACCCCCGAGGUUAACUACCGGAGCUUCUGCUCUCUCCUGAGCCCCAGGCCAACACAGGACGAUGGUGGCCGGGAUGCCAGCCGGGAUGCCUAAACACAGUAAGACUUCAGUUGCCUCUCAUUUGGCUGUUCAGAGCUAAUGUCUACCAGAGGAGGUUUUAGAAGUGGGUCGCACCCGUCCUGAAUCCAUCCUGUGAGGUGGCAGAGGGUCAGAGGGUCACUCCUUCUUGUUAAAGGUUAGCAUAAUAAGUAUUAUUAUUACUAGGGUAGAGGAAGAUGUGGAGGAAAAAAAAAGCCUAGGGUGCCUAGGACACUAACCAACCUUACAGCUUACCCAAAGUCCAGAACCUCCCAUUGUACACCUUCUCUCCCCAACACAGAUCCCUAAGGUCUCCUCUUCAUCUGGCAUGUGUGUUCACAGAAGGUACAGUGUGCGAGAACACACUUAGGAAAUUUUAGGAACGCUAAUCACAGUACUGGAGGAAUAAAGAUGUGUCGAAGGAAUGGAUGGAAUGCAUGAACACAUACACCUUGUUGUCCAGAUGCAGACAAAAGCUACCAUGUCCGCUUGGAGUGACACCCAGACAUGCACAGAGAUGUACAGGAAGCCAAGGAGAGUGGGAUCCACCAGAGUACAGUACAAGUACAGAGUACAGUGCAAGAUGCCCAGUGGCCCUGGAGAAAAACCUUCGUUGACUCUUCUGUAUGGAAAGUUUCUGAAGAAAGGGCCAAGGAAUGAUCUGCCCCAGAGGCUGCCUUUAGGCUCCCAUACCUGCUCUGUUUGGAGACACCCAGAAGAGGCCAGUACAGCAAAGACUCUUUUUGGUUUGGUUAUUUCUGUUGCUUGUUGUCUUUUUUUCAUCCUUUGCCUGGGAAAUUGUGCUCUGGAAUAGGGCUUGAGUAGACAGCACAGGCCUCCAGUAGAUAACAAGAGAUUCUCAAUCUCCAAUGAGGACAUUCCGUUCUAAGGAAGCUUCCAGAUAGGGGAAAGUCCUGUUUUGUCCCCCUUUUCUCCUCUGAGAUCUGAAAAAAUAGAAAGAAAAAAAAAAGAAAA